rnacentral:rRNA from 1 species
GAUGAACGCUGGCGGCGUGCCUAAUACAUGCAAGUCGAGCGAACAGACGCGGCGCUUGCUCCUCUGACGUUAGCGGCGGACGGGUGAGUAACACGUGGAUAACCUACCUAUCAGACUGGGAUAACUUCGGGAAACCGGAGCUAAUACCGGAUAAUCUAUUGAACCGCAUGGUUCAUUAGUGAAAGUCGGUUUUGGUGUCUCUUAUAGAUGGAUCCGGGCCGCAUUAGCUAGUUGGUACGGUAACGGCUUAGCAGGGCAACGAUGCGUAGCCGACCGGAGAGGGGGGUCGGCGGCACGAGAGGGUGAACGGGGACCAGGCGACUACGGGAGGGAGCAGUAGGCAAUGGUACGCAGUGGGCGAGAACCUGGCGGAGCGACGGGACGUGAGUGAUAGAGGUGUUGGGAGCGUAAUGCUGGGUUAGUGGGGGAGAACAAAUUUCGAAGGAACUGAACACGUCGUGACGGUAACUAAUCAGAAAGCAACGGCUAACUACGUG